GUCCCCAUCGUCUAGUGGUCUAGGACACCGGCCUUUCACGCCGGCAACGGGGGUUCGACUCCCCCUGGGGACG
rnacentral:tRNA from 1 species